rnacentral:rRNA from 1 species
AACGAACGCUGGCGGCAUGCCUAACACAUGCCAGUCGAACGAAACCUUCGGGUCUAGGGGCGCACGGGUGCGUAAGGGGUGGGAACCUGCCCUUAGGUUCGGAAUAACUCCCCGAAAGGGGUGCUAAUACCGGAUAAUGUCUUCGGACCAAGGAUUUAUCGCCUUUGGAUGGGCCCGCGUUGGAUUAGCUAGUUGGUAGGGUAAAAGCCUACCAAGGCGACGAUCCAUAGCUGGUCUGAGAGGAUGAUCAGCCACACUGGGACUGAGACACGGCCCAGACUCCUACGGGAGGCAGCAGUGGGGAAUAUUGGACAGUGGGGGAAAGCCUGAUCCAGCAAUGCCGCGUGAGUGAUGAAGGCCUUAGGGUUGUAAAGCUCUUUUACCCGGGAUGAUAAUGACAGUACCGGGAGAAUAAGCUCCGGCUAACUCCGUG